GUAGCACAGAGAGCUUGCUCUUGGGUGACGAGUGGCGGACGGGUGAGUAAUGUCUGGGGAUCUGCCCGAUAGAGGGGGAUAACCACUGGAAACGGUGGCUAAUACCGCAUAACGUCGCAAGACCAAAGAGGGGGACCUUCGGGCCUCUCACUAUCGGAUGAACCCAGAUGGGAUUAGCUAGUAGGCGGGGUAAUGGCCCACCUAGGCGACGAUCCCUAGCUGGUCUGAGAGGAUGACCAGCCACACUGGAACUGAGACACGGUCCAGACUCCUACGGGAGGCAGCAGUGGGGAAUAUUGCACAAUGGGCGCAAGCCUGAUGCAGCCAUGCCGCGUGUAUGAAGAAGGCCUUCGGGUUGUAAAGUACUUUCAGCGGGGAGGAAGGCGAUGCGGUUAAUAACCGCGUCGAUUGACGUUACCCGCAGAAGAAGCACCGGCUAACUCCGUGCCAGCAGCCGCGGUAAUACGGAGGGUGCAAGCGUUAAUCGGAAUUACUGGGCGUAUAGCGCACGCACGCGGUCUGUUAAGUCAGAUGUGAAAUCCCCGGGCUUAACCUGUGAACUGCAUUUGAGACUGGCAGGCUUGAGUCUUGUAGAGGGGGGGUA
rnacentral:rRNA from 1 species